GUCUUUAACCUCUUCAUUAUUGUUUCAUUCUAUCUCCUUCUCUAUCUCCUCAUAUAUAAAUUGGUGCCAAAUCUUCAUCGAUACUUUUUUUUUUGACAAAACUUCAUCGAUACAUACUUCAAUGUAAAUAGUUCAAUGCAUAAAAUCUCAAAUGAAAACAACCUGGCAAACAAUUUCUUUCUCUUUUAGAGUUUUGGUUUCUCUUUAUAUUAUUUUUAAUCAUUCUUUUAAAGUAACUCUACAAAGAGCGACCUGUCCAUGAAUGAAUAUUUUAUGCUUUUGUUGAUCAUCAAAGUGUAGCAUAGUCGCGAUGGGUUUUGUUGUCUACAUUGUGAAUAAAUGUUUUUAUUUCAAGUGGUGAUUAAAUAUUACUGUUUUUUUCUGCCAUAUUUAACUUAUAUUCUUUUUGAACAACGGUGUAGAUGUUACACGAAGCUGGUCAGUGGACAGUCUCUAAUUGACCACCCCAUCCUCGACGAAGUGAAGAUAGCAAGAACCCGGCAUGUUAUGGGUCAUCUGCAAUCACAAGAUUAUGUGUUUCCUGUUAUUAAAAUCACGCCCUCUCCGUACUGCGCUUAACCCGUUAUUAAUAAACUUUUGCCUUUUGCAGGGGGCUGUUAUGAAGCUGUACUUUUGGGACCAGUCUGCAACAGACUUCUGCAAGAAAUUUACAGCAUAUGUAAAUUAGUCACUACAGCGAACACAAAAUGUCUUGGAGAGUUUAUCCCCAAGUGUUACUUCAGAUAUCCCCUGAAUUUGGAAUACCAGGGGGAUUUGGUGUUGCAGUUGGAUUUUCCCGCUUCCGUUCUUUGAGUUACAAAUACUUGAAGUUGAGAAGCGGCAUGAGCUAGAGCAGAGUGAUAUGUGACCACAGAAAUUUUCUUAUACAUCUGGAAAACUAACAUGGUGGACCCGAGGAAGAAGUGAGCCCAGAAGAGAAAAUUAAAGAUAUGCGAUAUAAACCUGAAGUUUUGGUUGUGGCCAUCGUUCAACCCAUGAUCACGCUCGAAAGAGAUACUGGUCGUUCACGUGGAUUCUGGUUUAUCACCUUCGCAGAUUGCCAGGGCCAUCCACGAGUCCAUCAGAGAGAUGCAUGGUAGGGACUUUGGUGAUCGGGUCAUUUCAGUUAGGAGCUGAAAUGUGAAAGUGUUGCAAACACCUAAAUGUUGAGGAUUCGUGAUAGUGUUGUCCACAUGUUCUGUGUUUGAAAAUUGAAGAUGGAAGAACCCAUUGGGUUGCUGUUGAUUUGUUGCCACUUUUUGAUAUUUAUUUUUUUCUUUUCUGAUUUGAAUUUAAAAAGAGAUAAAACUUCUCUAAGAUAUGUAAACUGGGAAAAAACCUUUAGAAAGCAUUUACAUAA